UUUCUUAAACAGCUUAUACCCGCGACUUCGUCCGCGUGGACUAUACAAAUCUCAAACCCCUAUUUUACCCCUCAGGGGUUGAGUUUUCAAAAGUACUUUCUCAGC